rnacentral:rRNA from 1 species
CAGUCGCCGCGGGAAUACGUAGGGUGCGAGCGUUAAUCGGAAUUACUGGGCGUAAAGCGUGCGCAGGCGGUUGUGUAAGACAGGUGUGAAAUCCCCGGGCUUAACCUGGGAACUACGCUUGUGACUGCACAGCUAGAGUAUGGCAGAGGGGGGUGGAAUUCCACGUGUAGCAGUGAAAUGCGUAGAGAUGUGGAGGAACACCGAUGGCGAAGGCAGCCCCCUGGGCCAAUACUGACGCUCAUGCACGAAAGCGUGGGGAGCAAACAGGAUUAGAUACCCGCGUAGUCCCUGUCUCUUAUAC